rnacentral:tRNA from 1 species
GGGCUCGUAGUCUAGUUUGGUAGGACGUCGCCCUCACGCGGCGAAGAUCCCCGGUUCGAAUCCGGGCGGGCCCA